CACUGCUGGAUGUCUGCUAGUGAGAGACAUGAGCUGAUGGGGUGUGCUGACCGCAGAAGCAAAAAUGAGCUUAACCUAAGGACCUGAGUUCACCUGAAGGAUGUAUGGGGAAAGACUGUCCCUCACUACCUAACCUUCACAGAGACAUCAGCUGCCUGGAAGCCAGUCUUCUAGCAGCCUUCAGAUGAAGAUGUAGAACUCUCAGUUCCUCCUGUACCAUGCCUGCCUGGAUGCUGCAAUGUUCUUGCCUUGGUGAUAACGGACUGAAUCUCUGAACCUGGAAGCCAGCCCCAAUUAAAUGUGGUCCUUAUAU